rnacentral:tRNA from 1 species
AAGACCUUAAGUUAAUGAAACUAAUAACCUUCAAAGUUAUAAUUGAAAGUAGUCUUUUAGGUCUUA